UGAAAUUGUUUUCAAAUGUCGCCUAUCCUGAACCCAUCGUUGUAAAUAGUUUACUUGGACAGAUUUUACGAGCUGUAUCCCGGACGUUACUUCACUUUUGCCAAAAACAUUUUCUAUUACGUACUAUUCCGCAUUCUUCGCUUUUGUUGUUUUUCCCGUUGGUAGCGUCAUUGUGACUGCUUCUGCCAUCCGAAGUUGCCUUUCGCAGAAGAUAUUUUCUCCAGGGUUCACCGUUCAAACUGAAUGGUGCUGGUGCUUACUUCAGUAACGGCCCCAUCAGGAAGAAAUACUGCAGUUACUUCUGGUGGAAAAUUGGUUAAGCUAAAAGCAACAUACACACCUUCGUGCGUGACUAUGGGAUGUAUGGCAAGCGUGCUGAGAAAAUGGACGGCUGUAAAUUAGCCUCUGCAGUCUCCUCCCCCGCUCAUUUAGCAAAAGUUCACUUCGACAUAGUUCCGAAUUCUCUUCAUGGAUGCAUUUAAAAAAAUCCCAUCACACAAUUGUAGCUAAAAUUACGAUGAGCCUCGAUUCGCUCUUCCUUGGCCAGACGAACACUCACAAAAAAUUAGUACAACGUAAUGUGUGGCGAAAAGUAACCAACGAGGAAAUGUAUUACGGCCCAUAUUUAUGACCAUAAUACGGAAGAGGGUACCUUUAUCAUCUCCAAGCUACGCUACCGGAUAGAGUACAUAACAUUUAGACAAAUAUACGAGUGUAAAAAUUCGCUGAGAAAAUGCCGAACCACACGAUUAAAUUACUUCAGCGGUAGGAACAAGCAGGAUAUGAAUGGAUAGAAUGUGGCUGUUGGCCUGUCGAGGAAUAUCUUUGGGAUAUUCACUUAUUUAUGUAUGAGUACGUGUUUGGAAAGGAUGCGUUAAAGUAAUCUUUUCAGUGCUUGAAAAUUUAUUGGGUCUGUAGCGCAGAGAAGGGAAGGUAGUUACAGUAAUAAGUAGUGGAUUUAUAUUCGCCGAGCUGGCUCGAUUUCAAGUCCUUUAGAGGAUAUGAGUGGUAGUAAAUAAGCUCAGAAACUUAUGCAGAAGCGAUAAAUUUGGGUUGAAAAUAUUUCCUUUGCUUUAAUGGUAUUCGUAGUAUGAGAAGGGAAGGUAUUUGAAGACCCAGGGAAUAACAAUAUAUGCUAUUGGUGUGAAAAGGAAGGGAGGGGGGAGUUUCUAGCGUCCUAAAUCUUAUCACUAGCUCCUUGCAUUUUCUAUACAUUUCAUGGGAAUAAAUCGAUUUAGUAAAAUAGAAUUGAUGUAUUACAUUUGUUGUAUAUUGAGGUGCUCUGCGUAAUGGCUAGUGAACGGAUGUUGAUUCAAGGUUAAAGUUUUGGACCACAAAUCAACUAAAUUAUG